UACAGGACCUUACUGCUGAUGGCUGGUAGGUUACAGGACCUUACUGCUGAUGGCUGGUAGGUUACAGGGCCUUACUGCUGAUGGCUGGUAGGUUACAGGGCCUUACUGAUGGCUGGUAGGUUACAGGACCUUACUGAUGAUGGCUGGUAGGUUACAGGACCUUACUGAUGAUGGAUGGUAGGUUACAGGACCUUACUGAUGGCUGGUAGGUUACAGGACCUUACUGAUGGCUGGUAGGUUACAGGACCUUACUGCUGAUGGCUGGUAGGUUACAGGACCUUACUGCUGAUGGCUGGUAGGUUACAGGACCUUACUGAUGAUGGCUGGUAGGUUACAGGACCUUACUGCUGAUGGCUGGUAGGUUACAGGACCUUACUGCUGAUUGCUGGUAGGUUACAGGACCUUACUGAUGAUGGCUGGUAGGUUACAGGACCUUACUGAUGGCUGGUAGGUUACAGGACCUUACUGAUGGCUGGUAGGUUACAGGGCCUUACUGAUGGCUGGUAGGUUACAGGGCCUUACUGAUGGCUGGUAGGUUACAGGGCCUUACUGCUGGUAGGUUACAGGACCUUACUGAUGAUGGCUGGUAGGUUACAGGACCUUACUGCUGGUAGGUUACAGGACCUUACUGCUGAUGGCUGGUAGGUUACAGGGCCUUACUGCUGAUUGCUGGUAGGUUACAGGACCUUACUGAUGAUGGCUGGUAGGUUACAGGACCUUACUGAUGAUGGCUGGUAGGUUACAGGACCUUACUGAUGGCUGGUAGGUUACAGGACCUUACUGAUGAUGGCUGGUAGGUUACAGGACCUUACUGAUGGCUGGUAGGUUACAGGACCUUACUGAUGGCUGGUAGGUUACAGGACCUUACUGAUGAUGGCUGGUAGGUUACAGGGCCUUACUGAUGGCUGGUAGGUUACAGGAUCUUAGUGAUGGCUGGUAGGUUACAGGGCCUUACUGAUGAUGGCUGGUAGGUUACAGGGCCUUACUGAUGAUGGCUGGUAGGUUACAGGACCUUACUACUGAUGAUGGCUGGUAGGUUACAGGACCUUACUGAUGGUGGCUGGUAGGUUACAGGGCCUUACUGAUGAUGGCUGGUAGGUUACAGGGCCUUACUGAUGAUGGCUGGUAGGUUACAGGACCUUACUGCUGAUGGCUGGUAGGUUACAGGACCUUACUGCUGAUGGCUGGUAGGUUACAGGACCUUACUGAUGAUGGCUGGUAGGUUACAGGACCUUACUGAUGAUGGCUGGUAGGUUACAGGGCCUUACUGAUGAUGGCUGGUAGGUUACAGGGCCUUACUGAUGAUGGCUGGUAGGUUACAGGACCUUACUGCUGAUGGCUGGUAGGUUACAGGACCUUACUGAUGAUGGCUGGUAGGUUACAGGGCCUUACUGAUGGCUGGUAGGUUACAGGGCCUUACUGCUGGUAGGUUACAGGGCCUUACUGAUGAUGGAUGGUAGGUUACAGGGCCUUACUGAGGAUGGCUGGUAGGUUACAGGGCCUUACUGAGGAUGGCUGGUAGGUUACAGGGCCUUACUGAGGAUGGCUGGUAGGUUACAGGACCUUACUGAUGAUGGCUGGUAGGUUACAGAACCUUACUGCUGAUGGCUGGUAGGUUACAGGACCUUACUGAUGAUGGCUGGUAGGUUACAGGACCUUACUCAAGUUUCAAUCAAGUUUAUUUUAUAUAGCCCUUCGUACAUCAGCUGAUAUCUCAAAGUGCUGUACAGAAACCCAGCCUAAAACCCCAAACAGCAAACAAUGCAGGUGUAGAAGCACGGUGGCUAGGAAAAACUCCCUAGAAAGGCCAAAACCUAGGAAGAAACCUAGAGAAGAACCAGGCUAUGAGGGGUGGCCAGUCCUCUUCUGGCUGUGCCGGGUGGAGAUUAUAACAGAACUAUGCCAAGAUGUUCAAAAUGUUCAUAAGUGACAAGCAUGGUCAAAUAAUAAUCAUGAAUAAUUUUCAGUUGGCUUUUCAUAGCCGAUCAUUAAGAGUUGAAAGCAGCAGGUCUGGGACAGGUAGGGGUUCCAUAACCGCAGGCAGAACAGUUGAAACUGGAACAGCAGCAAGGCCAGGUGGACUGGGGACAGCAAGGAGUCUUCAUGCCCGGUAGUCCUGACGUAUGGUCCUAGGGCUCAGGUCCUCCGAGAGAGAGAAAGAAAGAGAGAAGGAGAGAAUUAGAGAGAGCCAAGAUUUUCAAAAUGUUCAUAAAUGACAAGCAUGGUCAAAUAAUAAAUCAGGAAUAAAAGUCAGUUUGCUUUUCAUAGCCGAUCAUUAAGAGUUGAAAGCAGCAGGUCUGGGACAGGUAGGGGUUCCAUAACCGCAGGCAGAGCAGUUGAAACUGGAACAGCAGCAAGGCCAGGUGGACUGGGGACAGCAAGGAGUCAUCAUGCCCGGUUUGCCGUGACGUAUGGUCCUAGGGCUCAGGUUCUCAGAGAGAGAGAAAGAAAGAGAGAACGAGAGAAUUAGAGAGAGCAUACUUAAAUUCACACAGGACACUGGAUAAGACAGGAGAAGUACUCCAGGUAUAACCAACUGACCCUAGCCCCCCGACACAUAAACUACUGCAGCAUAAAUACUGGAGCCUGAGACAGGAGCGGUCAGGAGACACUGUGGCCCCAUCCGAAGAUACCCCCGGACAGGGCCAAACAGGAAGGAUAUAACCCCACCCACUUUGCCAAAGCACAGCUCCCGCACCACUAGAGGGAUAUCUUCAACCACCAACUUACAAUCCUGAGACAAGGCCAAGUAUAGCCCACAAAGAUCUCCACCACAGCACAAACCAAGGGGGGGCGCCAACCCAGACAGGAAGAUCACGUCAGUAACUCAACCCACUCAAGUGACGCACCCCUCCUAGGGACGGCAUGAAAGAGCACCAGUAAGCCAGUGACUCAGCCCCUGUAAUAGGGUUAGAGGUAGAGAAUCCCAGUGGAGGGGAACCGGCCAGGCAGAGACAGCAAGGGCGGUUCGUUGCUCCAGAGCCUUUCCGUUCACCUUCACACUCCUGGGCCAGACUACACUCAAUCAUAUGACCUACUGAAGAGAUAAGUCUUCAGUAAAGACUUAAAGGUUGAGACCGAGUCUGCGUCUCUCACAUGGGUAGGCAGACCGUUCCAUAAAAAUGGAGAUCUAUAGGAGAAAGCCCUGCCUCCCGCUGUUUGCUUAGAAAUUCUAGGGACAAUUAGGAGGCCUGCGUCUUGUGACCGUAGCAUACGUGUAGGUAUGUACGGCAGGACCAACUCGGAAAGAUAGGUAGGAGCAAGCCCAUGUAACGCUUUAUAGGUUAACAGUAAAACUUUGAAAUCAGCCCUUGCCUUAACAGGAAGCCAGUGUAGGGAAGCUAGCACUGGAGUAAUAUGAUCAAAUUUCUUGGUUCUAGUCAGGAUUCUAGCAGCCGUAUUUAGCACUAACUGAAGUUUAUUUAGUGUUUUAUCCGGGUAGCCGGAAAGUAGAGCAUUGCAGUAGUCUAACCUAGAAGCAACAAAAGCAUGGAUGAAUUUUUCUGCAUCAUUUUUGGACAGAACAUUUCUGAUUUUUGCAAUGUUACGUAGAUGGAAAAAAGCUGUCCUUGAAACAGUCUUGAUAUGUUCGUCAAAAGAGAGAUCAGGGUCAAGAGUAACGCCGAGGUCCUUCACAGUUUUAUUUGAGACGACUUUACAACCAUCAAGAUUAAUUGUCAGAUUUAACAGAAGAUCUCUCUGUUUCUUAAUGAUGAUGGCUGGUAGGUUACAGGACCUUACUGGUGGCUGGUAGGUUACAGGACCUUACUGAUGGCUCGUAGGUUACAGGGCCUUACUGAUGAUGGAUGGUAGGUUACAGGACCUUACUGAUGGCUGGUAGGUUACAGGACCUUACUGAUGGCUGGUAGGUUACAGGACCUUACUGAUGGCUGGUAGGUUACAGGACCUUACUGCUGAUGGCUGGUAGGUUACAGGACCUUAACUGAUGAUGGCUGGUAGGUUACAGGACCUUACUGAUGGCUGGUAGGUUACAGGACCUUACUGCUGAUGGCUGGUAGGUUACAGGGCCUUACUGCUGGUAGGUUACAGGACCUUACUGCUAAUGGCUGGUAGGUUACAGGACCUUACUGCUGAUGGCUGGUAGGUUACAGGACCUUACUGCUGGCUGGUAGGUUACAGGACCUUACUGCUGGCUGGUAGGUUACAGGACCUUACUGCUAAUGGCUGGUACGUUACAGGACCUUACUGCUAAUGGCUGGUAGGUUACAGGACCUUACUGCUGAUGGCUGGUAAGUUACAGGACCUUACUGCUGAUGGCUGGUAGGUUACAGGACCUUACUGCUGAUGGCUGGUAGGUUACAGGACCUUACUGAUGAUGGCUGGUAGGUUACAGGACCUUACUGAUGAUGGCUGGUAGGUUACAGGACCUUACUGCUGAUGGCUGGUAGGUUACAGGGCCUUACUGCUGAUGGCUGGUAGGUUACAGGACCUUACUGCUAAUGGCUGGUAGGUUACAGGGCCUUACUGAUGGCUGGUAGGUUACAGGGCCUUACUGAUGAUGGCUGGUAGGUUACAGGACCUUACUGCUGAUGGCUGGUAGGUUACAGGACCUUACUGCUGAUGGCUGGUAUGUUACAGGACCUUACUGAUGGCUGGUAGGUUACAGGACCUUACUGCUGAUGGCUGGUAGGUUACAGGACCUUACUGCUGAUGGCUGGUAGGUUACAGGACCUUACUGCUGGUAGGUUACAGGACCUUACUGCUUAUGGCUGGUAGGUUACAGGACAUUACUGCUGGUAGGUUACAGGACCUUACUGCUGAUGGCUGGUAGGUUACAGGACCUUACUGCUGAUGGCUGGUAGGUUACAGGACCUUACUGCUGAUGGCUGGUAGGUUACAGGACCUUACUGCUGAUUGCUGGUAGGUUACAGGACCUUACUGCUGAUUGCUGGUAGGUUACAGGACCUUACUGAUGGCUGGUAGGUUACAGGACCUUGCUGAUUGCUGGUAGGUUACAGGACCUUACUGAUGGCUGGUAGGUUACAGGACCUUACUGCUGAUGGCUGGUAGGUUACAGGACCUUACUGCUGAUGGCUGGUAGGUUACAGGACCUUACUGCUGAUGGCUGGUAGGUUACAGGACCUUACUGCUGAUGGCUGGUAGGUUACAGGACCUUACUGCCGAUGGCUGGUAGGUUACAGGACCUUACUGUUGGUAGGUUACAGGACCUUACUGAUGGCUGGUAGGUUACAGGACCUUACUGCUGAUGGCUGGUAGGUUACAGGACCUUACUGCUGAUGGCUGGUAGGUUACAGGACCUUACUGCUGAUGGCUGGUAGGUUACAGGACCUUACUGCUGAUGGCUGGUAGGUUACAGGACCUUACUGCUGAUGGCUGGUAGGUUACAGGACCUUACUGCUGAUUGCUGGUAGGUUACAGGACCUUACUGAUUGCUGGUAGGUUACAGGACCUUACUGAUGGCUGGUAGGUUACAGGACCUUACUGCUGAUGGCUGGUAGGUUACAGGACCUUACUGCUGAUGGCUGGUAGGUUACAGGACCUUACUGCUGAUGGCUGGUAGAUUACAGGACCUUACUGCUGAUGGCUGGUAGGUUACAGGACCUUACUGCUGAUGGCUGGUAGGUUACAGGACCUUACUGAUGGCUGGUAGGUUACAGGACCUUACUGCUGAUGGCUGGUAGGUUACAGGACCUUACUGCUGAUGGCUGGUAGGUUACAGGACCUUACUGCUGAUGGCUGGUAGGUUACAGGACCUUACUGAUGAUGGCUGGUAGGUUACAGGACCUUACUGAUGAUGGCUGGUAGGUUACAGGACCUUACUGAUGGUAGGUUACAGGAUCUUACUGCUGAUGGCUGGUAGGUUACAGGACCUUACUGCUGGUAGGUUACAGGACCUUACUGCUGAUGGCUGGUAGGUUACAGGGCCUUACUGCUGGUAGGUUACAGGACCUUACUGAUGGCUGGUAGGUUACAGGACCUUACUGCUGAUGGCUGGUAGGUUACAGGACCUUACUGCUGAUGGCUGGUAGGUUACAGGACCUUACUGAUGGCUGGUAGGUUACAGGACCUUACUGCUGAUGGCUGGUAGGUUACAGGGCCUUACUGAUGAUGGCUGGUAGGUUACAGGACCUUACUGCUGAUGGCUGGUAGGUUACAGGACCUUACUGCUGAUGGCUGGUAUGUUACAGGACCUUACUGAUGGCUGGUAGGUUACAGGACCUUACUGCUGAUGGCUGGUAGGUUACAGGACCUUACUGCUGAUGGCUGGUAGGUUACAGGACCUUACUGCUGGUAGGUUACAGGACCUUACUGCUUAUGGCUGGUAGGUUACAGGACCUUACUGCUGGUAGGUUACAGGACCUUACUGCUGAUGGCUGGUAGGUUACAGGACCUUACUGCUGAUGGCUGGUAGGUUACAGGACCUUACUGCUGAUGGCUGGUAGGUUACAGGACCUUACUGCUGAUUGCUGGUAGGUUACAGGACCUUACUGCUGAUUGCUGGUAGGUUACAGGACCUUACUGAUGGCUGGUAGGUUACAGGACCUUGCUGAUUGCUGGUAGGUUACAGGACCUUACUGAUGGCUGGUAGGUUACAGGACCUUACUGCUGAUGGCUGGUAGGUUACAGGACCUUACUGCUGAUGGCUGGUAGGUUACAGGACCUUACUGCUGAUGGCUGGUAGGUUACAGGACCUUACUGCUGAUGGCUGGUAGGUUACAGGACCUUACUGCCGAUGGCUGGUAGGUUACAGGACCUUACUGCCGAUGGCUGGUAGGUUACAGGACCUUACUGUUGGUAGGUUACAGGACCUUACUGAUGGCUGGUAGGUUACAGGACCUUACUGCUGAUUGCUGGUAGGUUACAGGACCUUACUGCUGAUUGCUGGUAGGUUACAGGACCUUACUGAUGGCUGGUAGGUUACAGGACCUUACUGCUGAUGGCUGGUAGGUUACAGGACCUUACUGCUGAUGGCUGGUAGGUUACAGGACCUUACUGCUGAUGGCUGGUAGAUUACAGGACCUUACUGCUGAUGGCUGGUAGGUUACAGGACCUUACUGCUGAUGGCUGGUAGGUUACAGGACCUUACUGAUGGCUGGUAGGUUACAGGACCUUACUGCUGAUGGCUGGUAGGUUACAGGACCUUACUGCUGAUGGCUGGUAGGUUACAGGACCUUACUGCUGAUGGCUGGUAGGUUACAGGACCUUACUGAUGAUGGCUGGUAGGUUACAGGACCUUACUGAUGAUGGCUGGUAGGUUACAGGACCUUACUGAUGGUAGGUUACAGGAUCUUACUGCUGAUGGCUGGUAGGUUACAGGACCUUACUGCUGGUAGGUUACAGGAUCUUACUGCUGAUGGCUGGUAGGUUACAGGACCUUACUGCUGGUAGGUUACAGGACCUUACUGCUGAUUGUUGUUAGGUUACAGGACCUUACUGAUGGCUGGUAGGUUACAGGACCUUACUGAUGGCUGGUAGGUUACAGGGCCUUACUGAUGGCUGGUAGGUUACAGGGCCUUACUGAUGGCUGGUAGGUUACAGGACCUUACUGGUGGCUGGUAGGUUACAGGACCUUACUGAUGAUGGCUGGUAGGUUACAGGACCUUACUGAUGAUGGCUGGUAGGUUACAGGACCUUACUGAUGAUGGCUGGUAGGUUACAGGACCUUACUGAUGGCUGGUAGGUUACAGGACCUUACUGCUGAUGGCUGGUAGGUUACAGGGCCUUACUGAUGAUGGCUGGUAGGUUACAGGGCCUUACUGAUGAUGGCUGGUAGGUUACAGGACCUUACUGAUGAUGGCUGGUAGGUUACAGGACCUUACUGAUGAUGGCUGGUAGGUUACAGGACCUUACUGCUGGUAGGUUACAGGACCUUACUGCUGGUAGGUUACAGGACCUUACUGCUGAUGGCUGGUAGGUUACAGGACCUUACUGAUGAUGGCUGGUAGGUUACAGGACCUUACUGAUGAUGGCUGGUAGGUUACAGGACCCUACUGCUGGUAGGUUACAGGACCUUACUGCUGGUAGGUUACAGGACCUUACUGAUGAUGGCUGGUAGGUUACAGGACCUUACUGAUGAUGGCUGGUGGGUUACAGGACCUUACUGAUGAUGGCUGGUAGGUUACAGGACCUUACUGAUGAUGGCUGGUAGGUUACAGGACCUUACUGCUGAUGGCUGGUAGGUUACAGGACCUUACUGCUGGUAGGUUACAGGACCUUACUGAUGAUGGCUGGUAGGUUACAGGACCUUACUGCUGGUAGGUUACAGGACCUUACUGAUGAUGGCUGGUAGGUUACAGGACCUUACUGAUGAUGGCUGGUAGGUUACAGGACCUUACUGAUGAUGGCUGGUAGGUUACAGGACCUUACUGCUGGUAGGUUACAGGACCUUACUGCUGGUAGGUUACAGGACCUUACUGCUGAUGGCUGGUAGGUUACAGGACCUUACUGAUGAUGGCUGGUAGGUUACAGGACCUUACUGCUGGUAGGUUACAGGACCUUACUGCUGGUAGGUUACAGGACCUUACUGCUGGUAGGUUACAGGACCUUACUGCUGGUAGGUUACAGGGCCUUACUGCUGAUGGCUGGUAGGUUACAGGACCUUACUGCUGGUAGGUUACAGGACCUUAUUG